AACCUCAUCUUAAGAAAGAAAAUCUUCUACCAUGAUCACGAAGGUGGUUUUCCCAGGGCAAGGCUUAUCCAUUGCACUCCGGAUGUGCUGACCCCUGCGAUUUCCCCAAUUGCGGGAAACUGGACUGCAUAAUUUGUGGUAGUGGGGGACAUCGUUCGCGCUCUCCCCUG